AAGUCGUAACAAGGUUUCCGUAGGUGAACCUGCGGAAGGAUCACUAGUGAUUAAAUCGAGAGCGUCUUCAUUGACCUCUCACCCUUCACAUCCACAUACACCCUGUGAACCGUUUGGCUCUUUUUUCCGUUUCUCUCUUCGGAGGGAAGGAAGGAGACGAAGAAGGAACGCUUUAGAUUUUCGUCAAAAGAAGUCUAAAGUCGACCUUUGGAGUUUUCCUGAAGGAAAAGGAGUCAUCAAUCAUAUACAUACACGAAGUCUAAUGAAUGUAAACGUUUUAUAUAAACAAAAUAAAACUUUCAACAACGGAUCUCUUGGUUCUC
rnacentral:misc_RNA from 1 species